CCCCCCCCUCUGCUCCCUGCAGCCCCGGGACUUGGAGGUGAGACUCGGGAGCAAAGCUCUGCAGGGACUCUGGCACCGGCAGAGCCAAAGAAACCCCGCACGAGGGGGGUGCACGAAGCGUUUCCACCUCCGAGGAGCUCCCAGCUAAACCCAACUCCCCGCUGGAUCCUGCUGCAGCUCCAGGCAGGUGCUGACAGGACUCUGGGAGCAGAGCUCGGGGAUCCUCUUUCCUGCACGAGCCUCAUGUCCAAACACUCGGACUCCUGAAAGCACUCGAAGACAAAGGGAACUACAAGUCGUGCCAGCCCUGCAGGAACACGCUGGACUUCCUUUAUCCUCCCUCCAAGCUCAAAUGAGCUCCUCGGCAGAGGAGGCCGUGCCGGCUCCCUGAAUUUAAAGGUCGCCGAGCGCCUGGUGAGAAAACGUGGCUAAUAAAAGGCACAGAAACAA